rnacentral:lncRNA from 1 species
CAUCUUUUCCUCUGAAAAUACAUUCUAUAUUAAAAUCCUGCUUUACAUAGCUGUUGCAUGGCUUUGCAUAUGAAAUACUAAAAACAUCAUCCGUUUUAAUGAAACAGUCAACCUAGUACUUGAGGAAAUUAUAUUUAUGGCCCAUAGACUAGCUACUCUCCAACGUGAGAAAGUUGAUGCAUUUCUAGGAACUUUAAAUUAAUCCCUUUCAUUACAGAAGUAGGUACCCAUGAAAAUGAAUAGAAAUUGCUGAUCUCAUUAAAGGCUGAAUUGAAACCAAUUCUUAUGGUGGCAGUAGCUACAACCUAUGAUAAUUUCCCUAGCUGCUGUAUGAGUUAAAUCCUAUAAUUACUUUAAAAAAAUCUAAAUAGCAUAAUUUUGGUUGCAUUGUAUUUUUUAUGUGUAUAUUUUUUGUGAGGGUUGGAGGAUGGGUAUAGAGACAUAUUUAAAUAAGCUUGUAUUUUAAUUGUGUUGGUUUGGCUUUUUGCAUGCACAGAGAUUUAUAGAUGUCUUUUGUACAGACACACUCUCCCCCUGUAAUUCUUUUUGAUCCUCAUUCUCAUUUUGAGAGACUGAUCCUCAGAUUAUGACUCUAGUUAUGAAUGCAUACUAUGCUAGAGGGCUAUUUUUAUGUUCACAGACUCAAAUCAUUCUGGGAGUUUAAUUUCUCAUCUCUAGUUUGAAACAGAUUUUUAAAUUUAAAAAGAUGAAGACAUUAGUCCUUGCCCUGGGGCCUUAAUUUAAGGUUUAGACAGAAGGUUAAAUAUCAAAACUUUCAGAUAAACCAAGUGUAUAUAUUUCUGAAUAAGGAUCUGGUGCCAUCUGCACAGGGCAUUGGCUCUUCUAGCUACAGUAAGAGAGUUUGUUUACAGAAGAAUACACAAUUUACACAGGACAAGUGCUUUUCUAUCAAAUAGAAGAGAUGAGGCAUGUUCAUUUGUCAUUACAAGCACACCAUUUCCUUUUUGGAGACCUCCCUGCCAUUUAUGCCUGACCCCAAAUCUAUAAAUACUCCUGGAAAGAAAUAAUAACCUACCAAAUGACAAGGAGUGGAGUGAAGAGAGAAUGAAUUGAAGGGUCUGAAGCUGCUUGCUUCAUCGCUUUUGGUCAUUUAGCAGGAUGUUGGCCUAGCAGUUUUGAAAUAGGUCAACAGAAAAUCUACCUCACAGCAGAAGGUAAGCACAUAGAAACUACAGCUGUGUUCUACCCGCUUGGUCUUUCUAGUCAAUAACAAGAUGAAGGAGGAGUCAUACACUUGGAAGCAUCUCUGCUUUUAAGUCU